rnacentral:rRNA from 1 species
UACGUAGGGUGCGAGCGUUAAUCGGAAUUACUGGGCGUAAAGCGUGCGCAGGCGGUUCUCCAAGUCCGUUGUGAAAGCCCCGGGCUCAACCUGGGAAUGGCAGUGGAAACUAGGGGACUGGAAUCUGGCAGAGGGGGGUGGAAUGCCGCGUGUAGCAGUGAAAUGCGUAGAUAUCAGGAGGAACACCGGUGGCGAAGGCGGGUCUCUGGGCCGAUACUGACGCUGAGGAGCGAAAGCGUGGGGAGCGAACAGG